rnacentral:rRNA from 1 species
GAUGAACGCUGGCGGCGUGCCUAAUACAUGCAAGUCGAGCGAACGGACGAGAAGCUUGCUUCUCUGAUGUUAGCGGCGGACGGGUGAGUAACACGUGGAUAACCUACCUAUAAGACUGGGAUAACUUCAGGAAACCGGAGCUAAUACCGGAUAAUAUUAUGAACCGCAUGGUUCAAAAGUGAAAGACGGUCUUGCUGUCACUUAUAGAUGGAUCCGCGCUGCAUUAGCUAGUUGGUAAGGUAACGGCUUACCAAGGCAACGAUGCAUAGCCGACCUGAGAGGGUGAUCGGCCACACUGGAACUGAGACACGGUCCAGACUCCUACGGGAGGCAGCAGUAGGGAAUCUUCCGCAAUGGGCGAAAGCCUGACGGAGCAACGCCGCGUGAGUGAUGAAGGUCUUCGGAUCGUAAAACUCUGUUAUUAGGGAAGAACAUAUGUGUAAGUAACUGUGCACAUCUUGACGGUACCUAAUCAGAAAGCCACGGCUAACUACGUG